rnacentral:rRNA from 1 species
GACGAACGCUGGCGGCGUGCCUAACACAUGCAAGUCGAGCGGAGACAUGAGGGAGCUUGCUCCUGAAUGUUUUAGCGGCGGACGGGUGAGUAACGCGUGAGCAACCUUUCUCUCAGUGGGGAAUAACACACCGAAAGGUGUACUAAUACCGCAUGAGACCACAGUGCCGCAUGGCACAGGGGUCAAAGAUUUAUUGCUGAGAGGUGGGCUCGCGUCCGAUUAGAUAGUUGGUGAGGUAACGGCUCACCAAGUCGACGAUCGGUAGCCGACCUGAGAGGGUGAUCGGCCACAUUGGGACUGAGACACGGCCCAAACUCCUACGGGAGGCAGCAGUGGGGAAUAUUGGGCAAUGGGCGAAAGCCUGACCCAGCAACGCCGCGUGAAGGAGAAGGUCUUCGGAUCGUAAACUUCUGUCCUAAGUGAAGAGCAGAAGACGGUAACUUAGGAGGAAGCCCCGGCUAACUACGUG